rnacentral:rRNA from 1 species
AAGCCAAAUUUAUACCGUGAAACUGCGAAUGGCUCAUUAAAUCAGUUAUCGUUUAUUUGAUAAUACCUUACUACUUGGAUAACCGUGGUAAUUCUAGAGCUAAUACAUGCUGAAAAUCCCGACUUCGGAAGGGAUGUGUUUAUUAGAUAAAAAACCAAUGCCCUUCGGGGCUCUUUGGUGAUUCAUGAUAACUUUACGGAUCGCAUAGCCUUGCGCUGGCGACGGUUCAUUCAAAUUUCUGCCCUAUCAACUUUCGAUGGUAAGGUAUUGGCUUACCAUGGUUUCAACGGGUAACGGGGAAUUAGGGUUCGAUUCCGGAGAGGGAGCCUGAGAAACGGCUACCACAUCCAAGGAAGGCAGCAGGCGCGCAAAUUACCCAAUCCCGACACGGGGAGGUAGUGACAAUAAAUACUGAUACAGGGCUCUUUUGGGUCUUGUAAUUGGAAUGAGUACAAUUUAAACCUCUUAACGAGGAACAAUUGGAGGGCAAGUCUGGUGCCAGCAGCCGCGGUAAUUCCAGCUCCAAUAGCGUAUAUUAAAGUUGUUGCAGUUAAAAAGCUCGUAGUUGAAACUUGGGUCUGGCUGGCGGGUCCGCCUCACCGCGUGCACUCGUCCGGCCGGACCUUCCUUUUAGCGAACCUCAUGCCCUUCACUGGGCGUGCUGGGGAACUAAGACUUUUACUUUGAAAAAAUUAGAGUGUUCAAAGCAGGCCUUUGCUCGAAUACGUUAGCAUGGAAUAAUAAAAUAGGGCGUGCGUUUCUAUUUUGUUGGUUUCUAGAGACGCCGCAAUGAUUAACAGGAACAGUCGGGGGCAUCAGUAUUCAGUUGUCAGAGGUGAAAUUCUUGGAUUUACUGAAGACUAACUACUGCGAAAGCAUUUGCCAAGGAUGUUUUCAUUAAUCAGUGAACGAAAGUUAGGGGAUCGAAGACGAUCAGAUACCGUCGUAGUCUUAACCGUAAACUAUGCCGACUAGGGAUCGGGCGAUGUUCUUUUUCUGACUCGCUCGGCACCUUACGAGAAAUCAAAGUUUUUGGGUUCUGGGGGGAUUAUGGUCGCAAGGCUGAAACUUAAAGAAAUUGACGGAAGGUCACCACCAGGCGUGGAGCCUGCGGCUUAAUUUGACUCAACACGGGGAAACUCACCAGGUCCAGAUGAAAUAAGGAUUGACAGAUUGAGAGCUCUUUCUUGAUUUUUCAGGUGGUGGUGCAUGGCCGUUCUUAGUUCGUGGGGUGACUUGUCUGCUUAAUUGCGAUAACGAGCGAGACCUUACUCUGCUAAAUAGCCAGGCUAGCUUUGGCUGGUCGCCGGCUUCUUAGAGAGACUAUCAACUUCAAAG